GAAACACUCAAACGAACCUCUAUUCUCUUAGAACUUGCCUCGUAAUCAAUCCAGCAACUCAACUUCUUCCCUCCAUCGAAAUGUCCACCAAAAGAUGAUAAAUUUCUAAUUCUCGCGGAUCCAGGUCUACCAACUAAGACCCCCACACGGUUCCCUCUCUUGGAGACACCAAACUCAACAGCAACAACCUCGUUUCGCAAUAAAAAGCCUAGACCAGAGGAAGUGUUGUCCUUUCUACCAAACAACCUAAGAUCCAAACCACUUGGAACCAUUACAAAAGCCAGGACGCUACCGAUCUCUUUGGAGGAGGACGACAUUGAGAAGGAGAAGCUAGUGGAGAACGAUCCUGAAAAGUUUCUACCUUUAGUAGUAGUACCUUGGAGUAGUGUGAUGGGUUUCUUGUAAAGGACUCGCCCUUCGCUCCGACUCACCGAGCCGGUCAGCUGAAUCGAUGAACCGCCGCCGUUGACGAGCUUCGAAUCUCGAAACUUCUAAAGAUUUAUUGAAUCUCUAGACUUGUAUAUAUCCUAAGUUUUAAAUAAAAUUUUAAAUAUAUGAUCAGGAAAAAUAUUCUGAUAUAAGAUUAUGACUAUUGAAAAUUAUAUAUAUUCCGUUGUACACCAAUGAUUAAUAACCGAACAGUUUAAAUGUGGAAUAAAGAAAUUUGUAAAAAAAAAAGUAGAACAAAACCAACUUAUAAUUUGGACAAAUAAAACGACUUUUAAACUUAUUUUUCCUAUACAAAGCACAUAUAUAUAGCUGCACCCGUGUUAUACAUAAUCGGAAAGAAAGAAAGAGAGAGGAAACAGAAGAAUUAGAGAGAGAUUGUUUGUCUGCUCCUCCUGAGAUCGCGCGUAGAAUUAGAUUUUGAUGGAGAUUCAUUGAGACCCCAAAGCCUUUCUCCUCUGAUCAAUUAUUCUAAAAAAGUAAUUUAUUUAAAAUUAUUUUCUCCGGGAAGGUUUAAAAAAAGUCGUCUGUUUUUCACCGGUUACAUGUCAGUCCGCGUUCCGGUCCCGUCGAGCAGCAGCCAGUUACCGGCGGCGCCAACAGCAACAACGACAAGACGUCGCGUGACAGAUUCUCAAGAAGAUCAUUGCCACGUCAGCACCGGAGGAGGAGGAGCAGUCGUUUACCUCCCCGGCGACGAGGAAGAAGCCACGAGCAGCAGCGGCGACGAAGGAGGAGGAGGAGGAUCAUCUUCGUGUUGUCAGAGUGAUUCGCACCACAACUACCUCGUCCGGUUUCUGUCUCUCCGCAAAAUCAGGCUCGUGUGGAUGCUCAUGGCCGACAACAAAUCCCAAUGGACGGCUGCUAUGUCUCGGAACGUGAGAUCCGCCACCAAUCUCGGCCGUAUGAUUCUGUCUAUAUUAGGAAUCCUCGUCGUCACUUUCUUCCUCGUCGUUGCUCUCUCCGGUGGCGGUGGCGGACGACGGAGACACGUGGAGAAACACGAGUUCGUCGUUUCGAUCCAUCCCAGAAGUAACAUGGAGAAGAUCAUCAAAGAAGAAGAAUCUUCUUCCAGUUCCGCUCGAGUUCUCCUUCCUGAGAGAAACCCUGUAAGCUCACACAUGUUCUGUUCUGUUCUGUUCAUUCUUACAUUCUGUGUACUAAUAUUGGCUUUGGUACUUUUUUUUUUUUUUUUUUUUUUUUUUUCUUAUAGUCAUUAGCUUUAACUCUUUAACUUGUCUGUAAGAUCAUUUUAUAUAUGUCUCCGCUUUUGGUUUUCAGAAUGAAGCAAGAAAGUUCAAUCAAACAGAUGUCGGGUCUGAAAAGAAGAAGAUGGAAGCACCAACUGAGCCAAAAGGAAUCUCGAAACAGAAAUGGGUGGAGGCGAGGCAGAAAAAGAUUGGGAAGAUUCUCGAUGCUAAUGGUUUAGAUAUGUCAAAGGCUUACAUGCUCGAUACUCAAGAAGCUGCGGAAACAAAAUACAAAAAAUGGGAGAAGGAACCCACACCUUCUGGUUGGGAUGGUACAUGCAGUUCUCACCUGACUUUUGAUUUUGUUUUGUUUUGUUCCAUUGAUUGAUGCUAGUGUUCUAACUGGUGUAUCUUCCUUGCAGUCUUUAACCAGAAGACGUUAUACAACGCAUACAAGAAACGGACAAAGAACAUUCAGGUUGACAUAGAGGAGUACAACAGAAUGAGAGCAGCUGAUCCAGAGUUUUACCGCGAGGCCUCUAGCUUGCAAUACGGCAAGGUUAGUUGAUAUAAAUCGUUUUGGUCAUUUUAGAGAUUCAAGUCUUGAGCAAAGAAUCAUUAGCUCAAUCCUUUGCUUAUCUUUUGCAGGCACCAAAAAUUUCAAAAGAUAAGAUAGAUAAGAUGGCGAAGGAGCUCCAUGACAGAGAGGAGAAACGACAGGAGUUUAGCAGGAGAAGAAAGUUCAGGGAAGAAAAGGAUAUCGAUUCAAUCAACGACAGAAACGAACAUUUCAACAAGAAGAUCGAGCGUGCGUUUGGGAAGUACACGCUGGAGAUCAAAAACAACUUGGAACGAGGAACUGCUUUACCUGACUAAGUUACUUGAGAUCACAUGUGUGAAACAAGGGAAUGUAUUAUCUGGUCGAAUUAUAUGCUUUUGUCUGCUUAUUGUCUUUAAUAACUUGUAGAAUGCGCCAUCAAAUUCUCUCGUUAGAGGGAAAAACGGUAAGACGGAUUUUGUUUUACUCUUUGCCAGUUCUCUUUUAUACCUUCUCGAAAAUUGAAUGCUAACAACUGGCAAAAAUCUUAAAUGUUAGUAAUUAAAUUGAUUUUGAAGUCUUGUUAGUUUAACAACUUUCCUCAAACAAACCUUUGGGGUCACUAAAUUCAUUUUUAAUGGAUUAAUUUUUAUUGUUCCCAGUAAAAAAAAGGCCCGGCUGGGGACUGACCAGGCCAGGCUAUUAAAAUAAAAAAGAUCUUUUAUUUGUGUUUGGACGAGACAAAAUAAAAAAGGAUCAUGUCCUGUGGAGUGUUUAUAGCAACGAAUAAAUUAAAACAAAAUAUUGUUCAUUUGUAUCGAGUUUAUAUAUUUUUCCAGCAAAUUCUUAUAAUAUAAGUUGUAUUGGUCGAUAUACUUUUAUCACCAACAUGUUUUCUUGAAUAUAAUUUAACCCCCAAAAAAUGCGAAUGAGAAAAAUAAGAAUUACUAGAUAACUUUUAAUUUAGAAGAAUAGAAGCGCAACGCUUGAGACUUGACAUUUUUGCGUGUUUUUUUUUUUUCAGGCUAAGCUUUGUGAAACUGAUUGAUCGGUUCGAUGCGGGGCUCAUGUCUUGGGAAGAUUUCUCGUCGGAGGUUAAGAGAAUACAUGGUAAAAGAUUAGGAGCUCCGUAUCUUAGACGGCCAGGAAAGGCAGGCUUGAGUCCCAAGUUGGAGGAGAAUUUUUAUGCAAACCCUCUUCCGGGUUGCUUGUGUGACACUUCUGAUAAACAAACCGGCCUGAACCGGUUUGAAAGACCAAGUUUACGAGCACAAUCUCUGAGAUAACCGGAGGUGUUUAGGUGUUCAAAUUGGUACUACUUAAAUUACACGAGGAAAUCACAUGUUUUGGCCUUUUUUUGGUUUUUAUGUAAUUAGGUUUAUUAAAACGUUAAUUCUAAUUGUAUUAGGAACUUGGAGAAAUAUAUAUAAAAUAUGAAUCAUAGCUCAAAACAUCUUCAAGGCCAGCAAUAUGUAAGGUUUGCUGGAAAUUCAAAUUUGAGGUUUGAAGGUGUUCAUUUCCUAUGAUAUAAUCUUAAAUCUUAUUUUAUAAAGAUUUAUAUUUACAUUAUAAUUUUUAAUAUUGAUCAAAAUUGAUUAAAAUUAUUAUUAUUUAUUUGAUUAAGCAUACAUUAAAAAUGUAUUUAAGCUAUCAUUAACCGGAUUAGGUUCUCAUUAACUGGAUUAACUGGAGUAUUGAAGUUCUAGUCUUCAGAAGAUCUUUCCCAAGUCCUUGUUUCUUUUAAGCAGACCCUCUUUUCACUGGAAUGUACAUUCAGCACCUAAAGUCUCAAAUUGAGUAUUAUUUUUUUAAACACAGUGAUUUUGAAGCAAUGGAACUCUGCUGAAAUCAUUAAAUCCCUAAAUAGAGGAAUGGGACCACUGGAGACAAUGCACAUUUCAUUGUUACUCUCCUCUCACUUUCUUCUCAGUCAAGACACAGAAACAACACAGAGUAGUAACUAGUAAGGUGUCUGAAAGGGGCAACUGAUUAUAAAUGCAUUUUGUUGAACUCACGAGAAACCCAAUGGCUUUCUUUUUUUGGACAAACCCUUCCUUCAAUACACUCACACGUCUCCUCUUGUCUUCUUCACUUGAAAAAAAAAGAAAAAAAGAUGACAACUGUAUUAAAUUGAUCAAGAUUUUCAAGAUCUUAACUAAUACAUAUUGUAAUAUUCUUCUACAUGUGAAAACUCAUCUCACCAAACCUGCAACUAACAAAAAAAACAAAACAAAACAGCAGAAGAAGAGGAAGGAGGACACCAGAAUGUACAUUACAAACAAACACAAAAGACAAACACAACAAUCUAAGAAAAUACCAAACUAAUUCUUGGCUUCUUCAUCAACAACAGAUUUUUCAGUAGCACAUUCCUCAGGAACCACUGCCAUUGACCGUCUAUUACCGCACAUUGUCCAAAGAUAUAACGCUAACAUGGCACCUAAAGUUCCACAAACCGCACCUAGAACCAAUGCACUAAGCAUUCUCCAAACACACUUUCUCUUCUUCCCCUUUACUUCCACCGUCUUCUUCUUCUUCUUCACCUCCACCUCCUUAACAGUCUUGGAAACUGCGUUUGGAUCAAGCGGCUGCGAGUGAAUCCUCAUUGAAGGAUGUCUCAGCUUAAAGCUCCAUGAGUGUAGAUAAUGCGGCUUGGAAGAGUUUCCAUUUGCAGAUGUCAAACCCACCAUAAACUUCUUUCCUUUCCAUAUCUUAGCCAAGUCUACCGAGUAAGACACCAACGGAUCCACAGGCUUCAAGGCAUUAGAAACACUCAAACGAACCUCUAUUCUCUUAGAACUUGCCUCGUAAUCAAUCCAGCAACUCAACUUCUUCCCUCCAUCGAAAUGUCCACCAAAAGAUGAUAAAUUUCUAAUUCUCGCGGAUCCAGGUCUACCAACUAAGACCCCCACACGGUUCCCUCUCUUGGAGACACCAAACUCAACAGCAACAACCUCGUUUCGCAAUAAAAAGCCUAGACCAGAGGAAGUGUUGUCCUUUCUACCAAACAACC
rnacentral:lncRNA from 1 species